rnacentral:lncRNA from 1 species
AUGUUACUCAUGGUUUGUGCUUUAUGACAGUCAGUGGAUGAUUCUUCUUGCAUUUCUAGGAAAGCCAUGUUGCCAUUAUUCUAUUUUUAAAUAUCCGUGAGUGGCAAAUUUGAACUACUGAAAACCAUGUUACCUACCCAAUUUUCUCCCAAUAAAAGACAUUUAGGAGGUAGAAUAUAUGUAUCAACAGGUAAAAAUGUUAAUAUCAUGAUUAGCACAUUUUAUAUUGGCAAGAUAAGCUUUAUGAAUACUUACAUGCAGUCAGAUAGUUAAAAAAAGGAAUUAAAAUAAGUCAGACAAAGCUUCCUGACACUGUCCUUCCUGAUGAUUUGGUCUGUUUCUCUCAUUGCAUGUGUUUUUUUAAACACUUAGCUCCCACCGAUAAUGAAUAGCCACCUCUUUUUGGCUACACUUUGAAUAUAUUGCAGAACUAGACACAUCAGGGUAGCUCCAACCCUCACUAAAUGGAAUUGAAAAUACCAGAAACCCAAGAUAAGCAAGAGGAUUACUAGAUAGUAACCUAGCAACACCAGUCAAGCAACUGUACUCUAGUUACUUCUUAUGUUUGUUAAACCUCCUGUGAUGUCAUACACUCUAUGAAUCAUGUUGUACAUACUGAAGGCGUGCACCUGUAUCGACAACAUCACAAAGAUUCUGAGAAGGAAAUCAGAGGAGCAUUACUUGAAGAGAAGCAAAUGUGAAUUUGUGAAGUGCUUUCACCUCUUCAUUCAUUCCUUCAACAAAUACUUUUAAAGCACCUACUAUGUGCCAGGAACUAUGGAGUAUUAUAGAGACACAGAAGAAAGCAAGAAAAAUUGCUGACUCAGCUCUCAUGAGGAUGAGAAUCUAGGGGAAGAAAUAGACAGAAACUAAACCAAUAAUAAAAUGGCAAAUAUGGUGAGUAGAAAAGCCUAGACAACUCUCAGAAAAGAGGAGGUGGUGUUAGGAGAGUCUUCUCAGAAGUAAUGGUUGAGCUAAAGGAUGAGUUAAUACAUGGUAGAUUAAGGGAAGGAUGUGUCUAAUGGAAGAAAUGAUUUGUGCAAAGGCAUCGAGGAGAUAGCAGCAC